rnacentral:rRNA from 1 species
CUACGGGAGGCAGCAGUGGGGAAUAUUGCACAAUGGAGGAAACUCUGAUGCAGCAACGCCGCGUGGAGGAUGACACUUUUCGGAGCGUAAACUCCUUUUAUAUAGGAAGAAGAUGACGGUACUAUAUGAAUAAGCGCCGGCUAGCUCCGUGCCAGCAGCCGCGGUAAUACGGAGGGCGCAAGCGUUACUCGGAAUCACUGGGCGUAAAGAGCGUGUAGGCGGAUUAAAAAGUCAGAAGUGAAAUCCUAUAGCUUAACUAUAGAACUGCUUCUGAAACUCUUAAUCUAGAAUAUGGGAGAGGUAGAUGGAAUUUCUGGUGUAGGGGUAAAAUCCGUAGAGAUCAGAAGGAAUACCGAUUGCGAAGGCGACCUACUAGAACAUUAUUGACGCUGAGACGCGGAAGCGUGGGGAGCAAACAGGAUUAGAUACCCGCGUAGUC